rnacentral:rRNA from 1 species
UCAGAUUGAACGCUGGCGGCAGGCCUAACACAUGCAAGUCGAGCGGUAACAUUUCUAAGCUUGCUUAGAAGAUGACGAGCGGCGGACGGGUGAGUAAUGCUUGGGGAUCUGCCUGAUGGCGGGGGACAACCACUGGAAACGGUGGCUAAUACCGCAUAAUACCUAUGGGUCAAAGUGUGGGACCUUCGGGCCACACGCCAUCAGAUGAACCCAAGUGAGAUUAGCUGGUUGGUAAGGUAACGGCUUACCAAGGCGACGAUCUCUAGCUGGUCUGAGAGGAUGAUCAGCCACACUGGGACUGAGACACGGCCCAGACUCCUACGGGAGGCAGCAGUGGGGAAUAUUGGACAAUGGGGGCAACCCUGAUCCAGCCAUGCCGCGUGUGUGAAGAAGGCCUUCGGGUUGUAAAGCACUUUCAGUGGUGAGGAAGGUGGUGUCGUUAAUAGCGGCAUCAAUUGACGUUAGCCACAGAAGAAGCACCGGCUAACUCCGUGCCAGCAGCCGCGGUAAUACGGAGGGUGCGAGCGUUAAUCGGAAUUACUGGGCGUAAAGCGCACGUAGGCGGUAUGUUAAGCAAGAUGUGAAAGCCCAGAGCUCAACUCUGGAAUAGCAUUUUGAACUGGCAUGCUAGAGUUUUGGAGAGGGUG